AUUCAGCUGGCGAGUCCCAAAUAGGAUGAGACACGCGUCUUGGAU
rnacentral:hammerhead_ribozyme from 1 species